rnacentral:rRNA from 1 species
GAUGAACGCUGGCGGCGUGCUUAACACAUGCGAGUCGAACGAUGAAGCCCAGCUUGCUGGGUGUAUUAGUGGCGAACGGGUGAGUAACACGUGAGUAACCUGCCCUUAACUCUGGGAUAAGCCUGGGAAACUGGGUCUAAUACCGGAUAGGAGCGCCUACCGCAUGGUGGGUGUUGGAAAGAUUUAUCGGUUUUGGAUGGACUCGCGGCCUAUCAGCUUGUUGGUGAGGUAAUGGCUCACCAAGGCGACGACGGGUAGCCGGCAUGAGAGGGUGACCGGCCACAAUGGGACUGAGAGACGGCCCAGACUCCUACGGGAGGCAGCAGUGGGGAAUAUUGCACAAUGGGCGAAAGCCUGAGGCAGCGACGCCGCGUGAGGGAUGACGGCCUUCGGGUUGUAAACCUCUUUCAGUAGGGAAGAAGCGAAAGUGACGGUACCUGAAGAAGAAGCACCGGCUAACUACGUG